GUGGGGAAUAUUGGACAAUGGGCGCAAGCCUGAUCCAGCCAUGCCGCGUGAGUGAUGAAGGCCCUAGGGUUGUAAAGCUCUUUCACCGGUGAAGAUAAUGACGGUAACCGGAGAAGAAGCCCCGGCUAACUUCGUGCCAGCAGCCGCGGUAAUACGAAGGGGGCUAGCGUUGUUCGGAAUUACUGGGCGUAAAGCGCACGUAGGCGGACAUUUAAGUCAGGGGUGAAAUCCCAGAGCUCAACUCUGGAACUGCCUUUGGUACUGGGUGUCUUGAGUAUUGAAGAGGUAAGUGGAAUUCCGAGUGUAGAGGUGAAAUUCGUAGAUAUUCGGAGGAACACCAGUGGCGAAGGCGGCUUACUGGUCCAUUACUGACGCUGAGGUGCGAAAGCGUGGGGAGCAAACAGGAUUAGAAACCCCGGUAGUCC
rnacentral:rRNA from 1 species